UACGUAGGGUGCAAGCGUUGUCCGGAAUUAUUGGGCGUAAAGAGCUCGUAGGCGGUUUGUUGCGUCGGCUGUGAAAUCCCGCGGCUCAACUGCGGGUCUGCAGCCGAUACGGGCAGGCUGGAGUUCGGUAGGGGAGACUGGAAUUCCUGGUGUAGCGGUGAAAUGCGCAGAUAUCAGGAGGAACACCGAUGGCGAAGGCAGGUCUCUGGGCCGAUACUGACGCUGAGGAGCGAAAGCGUGGGGAGCGAACAGG
rnacentral:rRNA from 1 species